rnacentral:lncRNA from 1 species
AUCACUACCAAAAGACUAACUCUCCAGUCCGAUCAUCAUAUUGACUUUGAAUAUGCCAGGCAUACUGCUGUUACAAAAAUGUCACUCUGCUACAAUCAGUUGUUCCAGGUUUCAUUUAGGACAAAGUUCAAAGUACUCCUUAAUUAUUUUCUCGAAAAAGCAAUAUUUUUUUUGUCAGGAAUCGUUAGUAUUUUCUCGGAAAAGUAAGGUAUUUAUUUCCGGAAACGUAGAUUUAUUUUUUGCAGAAACGUCAUUUUUCCCGGAAAAGUAAUGCCAAUUUUCGGAAACGUAAAACGCCGCUGAUUAUCCAUAGGACUGUUGGCUAUCUUUUUGGGAAAUUGUGAACUUUCGUCUUUUUUUUUUUAUAUAACUAUUGUUUAAAUCUAUAAUUAUCUUAUGUUGUUAUUGCAUAUCUUUAUAUGGAUAUAUAUUAUACUAUAGUUACUUAUUACACGUGGGAGGGGACUAUCUAAGUUGUGAUCAUUUGUGUCUGGUCCUUUUUGUUAUAUGUAAUAACAAAUAAAAUAUGUUUAAAUUAG